GUCAGGCUCAGUGGCCUAUGCUUGUAGUCCCAGCUACACAGGAGGCUGAGAUGGGAGGAUCGCUUGAGCCCAGGAGUUCUGGGCUGUAGUGCGCUAUGCUGAUCGGGUGUCCGCACUAAGUUCGGCAUCAGUAUGGUGACAUCCCAGGAGUGGGGGACCACCAUGUUGCCUAAAGAGGGGUGAACUGGCCCAGGUCAGAAAUGGAGCAGGUCAAAAUUCUCAUGCUGAUCAGUAGUGGGAUCGUGCCUGUGAAUAGCCACUGCACUCCAGCCUGGGCAACAUAGCGAGACCCCGUCUCU
rnacentral:SRP_RNA from 1 species